rnacentral:rRNA from 1 species
UUGACCUCAAAUCAGGUAGGACUACCCGCUGAACUUAAGCAUAUCAAUAAGCGGAGGAAAAGAAACUAACAAGGAUUCCCUUAGUAACUGCGAGUGAAGAGGGAAAAGCUCAAAUUUAAAAUCUGGCAGUGUUUUGCUGUCCGAGUUGUAACCUAGAGAAGUGUAGCCUGUGCUGGACCGUGUACAAGUCUCCUGGAAUGGAGCAUCGCAGAGGGUGAGAAUCCCGUCUUUGACAUGGACUACCAGUGCAUUGUGGUUGCGCUCUCAACGAGUCGAGUUGUUUGGGAAUGCAGCUCUAAAUGGGUGGUAAAUUCCAUCUAAAGCUAAAUAUUGGCGAGAGACCGAUAGCGAACAAGUACCGUGAGGGAAAGAUGAAAAGAACUUUGGAAAGAGAGUUAAACAGUAUGUGAAAUUGUUGAAAGGGAAACGUUUGAAGUCAGUCGCGUUGGCUGGGGAUCAACCUGACCAUUUGGUUGGGUGUACUUCCUGGUUGAUGGGUCAACAUCAGUUUUGACUGCCAGAAAAAGGCAGAGGGAAUGUGGCACCUUUUAGGUGUGUUAUAGCUCUCUGUCAUAUAUGGUGGUUGGGACUGAGGAAAGCAGCGUGCCGAAAGGCCGGGUUUCGACCACGUUCACGCUGAGGAUGUUGGCAUAAUGGCUUUAAGCGACCCGUCUUGAAACACGGACCAAGGAGUCUAACAUGCAUGCGAGUGUUUGGGUGGAAAACCCUUACGCGUAAUGAAAGUGAAAGUUGAGAUCCCUGUCAUGGGGAGCAUCGACGCCCGGACCAGAACUUUUGGGACGGAUCUGCGGUAGAGCACGUAUGUUGGGACCCGAAAGAUGGU